UACGUAGGGUGCAAGCGUUGUCCGGAAUUAUUGGGCGUAAAGAGCUCGUAGGCGGUCUGUCGCGUCUGCUGUGAAAACUCGGGGCUUAACCCCGGGCCUGCAGUGGGUACGGGCAGACUAGAGUGCGGUAUGGGAGAGUGGAAUUCCUGGUGUAGCGGUGAAAUGCGCAGAUAUCAGGAGGAACACCGGUGGCGAAGGCGGGUCUCUGGGCCGUAACUGACGCUGAGGAGCGAAAGCGUGGGUAGCAAACAGG
rnacentral:rRNA from 1 species